rnacentral:lncRNA from 1 species
AGAUAGGGCGAUCUGAUGAUUCUUAACGAACCAAUACAUCUCCUGUUCUGCAGCUGCAAUGGAUUCUUCCCACGGCCAUCUAGUCAGAUAAGGAGGGAUGCAUGCGGCUUCACAAGUGCAGUGCUCUGUACUCUGGACACGCGUUUACGAGGAAGAAUUUCCACGUGAAGCUAGCCUGUUUGGUUUGACAUCAGGCAAACUUGCCUGGCAGGCAUAAAAAUCUCAGGCGUUGGAAUUUGACUUCCUGGGAUCAGAUCUGCUGCAGGGUGAAAGUCGCCUGGU